rnacentral:rRNA from 1 species
AGCAGCCGCGGUAAUUCCAGCUCCAAUAGCGUAUAUUAAAGUUGUUGCAGUUAAAAAGCUCGUAGUUGAAUUUCGGGGUUCUACCGUCGGUCGGGCUAACAAGUCUGUACUGGUGUGUACAACUCCUACCUUCUGGGGAACCAUCAUGUUAUUAAUUUAGCGUGGUAGGAAACCAGGACCUUUACCUUGAAAAAAUUAGAGUGUUCAAAGCAGGCUUAAGUCUGAAUACAUUAGCAUGGAAUAAUAGAAUAGGACGGUGGUCCUGUUUUGUUGGUUUCUGAAUCACCGUAAUGAUUAAUAGGGAUAGUUGGGGGCAUUAGUAUUCAAUUGUCAGAGGUGAAAUUCUUGGAUUUAUUGAAGACUAACUUCUGCGAAAGCAUUUGCCAAGGAUGUUUUCAUUAAUCAAGAACGAAAGUUAGGGGAUCGAAGACGAUCAGAUACCGUCGUAGUCUUAACCAUAAACUAUGCCGACUAGGGAUCGGACGAUGUUAAAUUUUAUUGACUCG